rfam:Oryza sativa (indica cultivar-group) chromosome 1, whole genome shotgun sequence.
AAAAAGACAAAUCCUGGUUUUCGUGCCCAACGUUUGGCCGUCUAUUUUAUUUGAAAAAAUUAUGAAAAAAAUUAAAAAGACAAGUCACGUAUAAAAUAUUAAUCAUGUUUUAUCAUCUAACAACAAUAAAAAUACAAAUUAUAAAAAAUUUUCAUAUAAAAUGGAUAGUUAAAGUUAGACACGGAAACUCAGGGUUUGUCUUUUU